rnacentral:rRNA from 1 species
AUUGAACGCUGGCGGAAUGCUUUACACAUGCAAGUCGAACGGCAGCAUAGGUGCUUGCACCUGAUGGCGAGUGGCGAACGGGUGAGUAAUACAUCGGAACGUGCCCAGUCGUGGGGGAUAACGUAGCGAAAGUUACGCUAAUACCGCAUACGAUCUAAGGAUGAAAGCGGGGGACCGUAAGGCCUUGCGCGAUUGGAGCGGCCGAUGUCAGAUUAGGUAGUUGGUGAGGUUAAGGCUCACCAAGCCGCCGAUCUGUAGCUGGUCUGAGAGGACUACCUGCCCCACUGGAACGGAGCCACGGCCCAGAGUCCUACGGGAGGCAGCAGUGGGGAAUUUUGGACAAUGGACGCAAGUCUGAUCCAGCCAUUCCGCGUGCAGGACGAAGGCCUUCGGGUUGUAAACUGCUUUUGUACGGAACGAAAAAGCUCUUACUAAUACUAGGAGUCCAUGACGGUACCGUAAGAAUAAGCACCGGCUAACUACGUGCCAGCAGCCGCCGUAA